GUUUGGAUGAAUCAAGAAUUGGGUCAAAUUGUCCGAGGUAUUCCCGCCAUUUCACUCUCUCAUCAAAUCAUUCUAACAAACCACUCCUAAGAAAUCUUAUUUGUAUGUUAUAGAAAAACUGACAACAAAAUAUUUUGGAAAAUAAAAUUAUUUUAUUCUAUUAUGAGACCAACAAUUCUAUUUUCCGUUGCAACGGAUUCAUUCUAUUUCUUCAUCUUGAUGUACUUAUUCAUUCUGGCCUACUUGACACCGGGAUUAGAUACAACCCUAAACUUAAUCAAAAUCGGCUCAUCAGUUGUCUUUAUUGCUUCAAGGUUAUUCAUUUAUUGUUAUUUGUUUGAAAAUAUUAACAUACAA